rnacentral:lncRNA from 1 species
GGGAAUAGGGGGGGUAAGGGAAUAGGGGGGGGGUUAUUGGUUUGUUUUGUCUUUGUAAAUUGCACAUCAAAACUGCCCCACUGAUGGUGGGACGCGGAGCUGAACCCGUUGUGCUUGGAACCAGCGGUGGGAGGAAGGAGGAGCUGAACCCCCCCAUAUAGGACAGUGCCCACAUCUCCCAUCCCAUGGCGCAGAGAUACCACCCCCCCCACACCCCACAUCCAACCCCCCUCCCCUUCCCAGCAUCAAACAGAUGAGCACCCCCCCACCCCCACCCCCAGUGCCAAUGGGGCAGCAAUGGGGCAGCAGUGGGGCACAGAGCUGCUGCCAUCCGGUUAUCACAAGAGGUAGUGAGAACAGUGCAGAAAGGACACAACUCAGAGCUCUCAGUUUCCAACCACCUCGCUCUGACCCUCCCCAAUGCCACACAUUGGCACUGGGAUGAGGUCUGGGGAGGAGGGGGGGGGGGGUUGUGGGGAUACCCCCCCCCCUAUGGGGCUCAUCCCACUCUGGGCAUCAGUAAAGUGCUGUUGGCGCUGGGCUGGGGGGUGUGGGACCCCCCGGGAAUGCCACGCUGAGCUCCUUGUGCAGCCCCCCCCCCCCCAUCGGGGGCUCUAUUGCUUUGGGGACGUGGGGGGCUGCACACUCACACUGCCCCUAUUUGGCACCACUACGCCCUGGCAGCACAGCAAGACCCUAAAAGGAACCUGCAGUGCUCAGCAAUGAGAAAGGGAGCAAUGCUUCUUUAUCCCAACCCCAACACACACACAUAGAGGAGGGUAAGGAAAGGGCAGAACCUUCUGGGUAACUCCUAAAGGAAGAGGAUUCAAAGCAUCACAGCUCCUGGCCUUAUGCUGCACCUAUGGGUGCUUUGGUGCACAGACCCCAAACUGCUCUGACCCCAUCCCAAACUGCCCAUGGUGCCGUAGUGCAAUAACUUGGGAAUGGAAUGAAUGUUAUCAGCAGUGAGACGGCCGGCCCAGCUGCAAUCCUACUGCCUACGACCCCAAACAGUGCUCACACCGACCCUAAGGACAGGGGAACCCCAAACGAUGUUCACACCAACCCCAUGGACAGUGGGACUCCAAAUGAUGCUCACACUGACCCUAAGGGCCCUGGGACACCAAACCGUGCUCACACUGAUCCUAAGGACACCGGGAUCCCAAAAGGCACUCACACCAAUCCUAAGGACAGUGCACCUCCAAAUGGGGCUCACACUGACUCUCUAAGGGCAGUGGGACCCCAAACCACAUUCACACUUACCCUAAGGACAUCAGGACCUAAACUGCAACUCACACUGAGCCUAAGGACAAUGAGACCCCAAACCAUGGUCAUACCGACCCUAAGGGCACUGGGAAUCCAAACUGUGCUUACACUGACCCUGAGUGAGCACUUUGGGUCCAAACUGCACUCACACUGA